GUGGAAGUGUCCUUAGAAGAGAAAACAAAGGAAAGAAGCAAGAGGAUGCUGGAGCAAGGAGGCCUGGAAUACCCUAGUGAUCUCUGCAUUUGAGGCCUGGAGUCCCAGAGACAAACAGCUGCUGGGAUGGGACGAAUGUCCAGAUGACUAGUUUGAGAAGCUGGGGAGAAAACAUGGAAAGAGAUGUGAAAGAGAUGUCCUGAGGAAAGGCAAUCUGGUCCCUGAAGUCUAAGUCUUAAAUGGUUCUCAUUUCUAAACUCCACCCCAAACUCAUCAUCAUCCAAUGUCCUAAUAAGCUGCACAGCAAAAAUUCAAAGCUCUUUUAAACAGCGGUAAGCUACAGUCCAAUCUUGCCCAUGGAUAAAGCCUAACUCAACAUGAAGUUGACAAAAAGGGAAAAUAUCAAGCAGCUGUAAUGCAAAUGCAAGAAAUUGUUUCGGGCAAUGACUGAUGUCAGCAGUUGCUACGUGUCACAAGUAACCUUGUACAUGCUUCCUUGGGUACAUUUUACACCUGGAAAAUUCUUUUUAUUUUUUCCUGCUUCAAGUUCAUUUUCACAAACAGCACAGGAAGACACCAGCUCCAU